GCCAGGAGCGAUAAAAUAUAUAUAAUCAAAAGUUAGAUUUUCACUCCGGGACUUAAAAUCCCUCGGGAGUUAAAUCCCGUGCCGGUUCAAGUCCGGCCCCGGGCACCA
rnacentral:tRNA from 1 species